rnacentral:lncRNA from 1 species
CCCGGCUUUGCGUGGCGAUACAAAGCAGCACCUGCUGGGUGGGAGGUGCAGAGGUGGCCAAGUGCUGGGAGGCUGGCUGGGAAUGGGGGGUGGCUCUGAAAUGAGGGGCUGGAGGCUGGUUUUUCCCUCUUUGCAGAAAGAGGUGGAGGUCAGGAGCUGCAGAAUAACUUUGUUUUCCUGUCCGGGAGCCAAAUUUCACAGGAGCAGCCUCGGCGGGGCAGCUGAGCUGAGCAGGCAGGAGCGGAUUCGCUGCGUCCACAUCCCCGUCAGCCAGCUCCUGCAGCCGUUCGGGGCAGGCACGGAGAUCGGCUACAAAGCACCGUGGCCCUCGUCCCAGGAACGGCGAGGAGAAUUUAUGAAAUGGACGUGAAAGGCAAACAGGGCCUUGGAAGUUUUCCCCAGCGUGAGAGAAGCUCUUGAAGUUUAUUCACAUAACAGCCAUCUUAUUAAAGAGUGUCUUGGAGAACUUUGAACAGCUUUCUAUAUGGAAACAAAUCUGCCUCUAUAGCAGCAGUUUUCUGUGUUUCUUUUGAUAACGAUAAUGAUCUUACAUUUCUGUGCUGCCUUUCAUCUUGCCGGAUCUUAAUGAGCUUUACAGACAAAUGUGCAAGCUAUACGCAAAGAUCAAUUCG